CCUACGGGAGGCAGCAGUGAGGAAUAUUGGUCAAUGGCCGAGAGCCUGAACCAGCCAAGUAGCGUGAAGGAAGACGGCCCUACGGGUUGUAAACCUCUUUUGUCGAGGAGCAAAGCGAGUCACGUGUGACUCAUUGAAAGUAUCCGAAGAAUAAGGAUCGGCUAACUCCGUGCCAGCAGCCGCGGUAAUACGGAGGAUGCGAGCGUUAUCCGGAUUUAUUGGGUUUAAAGGGUGCGCAGAGGGAGGGGCAAGUCAGCGGUAAAAUUGUGGGGCUCAACCCAAUAAUGCAGUUGAAACUGGGUGCCUUGAGUACGGUAGAAGUAUGCGGAAUGCGUGGUGUAGCGGUGAAAUGCAUAGAUAUCACGAAGAACUCCGAUUGCGAAGGCAGCAUACUGGAGCGCCACUGACGCUGAUGCACGAAAGUGUGGGUAUCGAACAGGAUUAGAUACCCGUGUAGUC
rnacentral:rRNA from 1 species